UUUAAAUGUAAAUUUUUGAACUAAAUUAGUAAUAGAUAUGAUCUUUAAAUUUAAAGAUUUUGGCGGUAUUUUAGUCUAUUCAGAGGAACCUGUUCUGUAAUUGAUAAUCCACGAUUAACUUUACUUAAUUUUAAAAAUUUGUAUAUCGUUGUUUAUAAAAAAUUUUAAAAGAAAGAUAAUUUUUAAUAAAUUUUAUUAAAUUUUAAAUCAAAUCAAGGUGCAGUUUAUAAUUAAGUUAGAAAUGGGUUACAAUAAAUUUAUUUAUUAAUGAAUAUAAAUUUUAAAAUUUUUAUUGAAGGUGGAUUUGAUAGUAAUAUUUUUAAAUUAAAUAAUAUGAUUUUAGCUCUAAAAUAUGU
rnacentral:rRNA from 1 species